CGGGGUGCAGCAGGCGCGAAAACUCUACAAUGCAGGCAACUGCGAUAGGGGAACAUCGAGUGAUCCUCAUAUUGGGGGUCUGUCCACCCGCCUAAAAAGCGGGUGUUAGCAAGGGCCGGGCAAGACCGGUGCCAGCCGCCGCGGUAAUACCGGCGGCUCGAGUGGUGGCCGAUAUUAUUGAGUCUAAAGGGUCCGUAGCCGGCUUUGCAAGUCUCUCGGGAAAUCCAGCGGCUUAACCGUUGGUCGUCCGGGGGGUACUACAUUGCUUGGGACUGGGAGAGGUAGGAGGUACUCAGGGGGUAGGAGUGAAAUCCUGUAAUCCUUUGGGGACCACCGGUGGCGAAGGCGUCCUACCAGAACAGGUCCGACGGUGAGGGACGAAAGCUAGGGGCACGAACCGGAUUAGAUACCCGGGUAGUCCUAGCCGUAAACGAUGCUCGCUAGGUGUCACAACAGUCGUGAACUGUUGUGGUGCCGUAGGGAAGCCGUGAAGCGAGCCACUUGGGAAGUACGACCGCAAGGUUGAAACUUAAAGGAAUUGGCGGGGGAGCACAAGGGCGAAUCGCGG
rnacentral:rRNA from 1 species